AGGUGUCCAGAAGUGAUCUAAUGGAUGUUCUAAGCAAGGGCAAAGUCUAGGAGAGACUUAGAAGAGUCUUGAGGAGCAAAUGGGCGAGUGUGCAAAGAUAGGGCGAGGCUGUACGGACAUGUACGGACUGGUACGGCCCGAGAGAUCACAACUCGCCCAUUUGAGAUGUUUUGAGAUGGUGCAAAGUCCGGGACAAGAUGUGCAAGCUUAGGGCAUGAUCAGAACAUGUCCCGGAGGCUUUGUACAAUCUUAGGGUGUUGGGAGAAGCAUCUGGUCAUGAGGAAUCAUUUGGGCAUCAAGAAGAUGCUGUUUGGAUAAGGGAAGUGGUCCCUGAUUGUGAUUGGCUGUAAGUGGUCCAAAGACAGGCUGGAUAGAGCUGUUAAAGGAAGAGCAAGUUGGCUAUGAACCUGGACAGUUUUAUGGACAGAUUCAGGUGGUAAUGCUGGUGCAUUCAUAGCCACUCUUCCCCUUAUCCAAUCAGGCGUCACUACACAGCUCACCAUCUCUCCUAGAUUGAUCCAAGCCAUCCAAUUCAAACCAGAACAUCUCCAUCCUUCAAGUCUUAUACAUUUACUUUAGGGUUUCAUUAAUUUGUAACCUGAUUGUAUAAAAAGACCCUUAAGGGACGUUUUGUAAUCUCUAAGGAGAGAGUGUGGGGUUUUCCCUCCUCCUUCAUCAAUGAAAGGGUUUUGAAAACCAGAAACAAAAAUCUAUUCUCUAGUCUUAAUCUCUCAGUCUCUCAGUCUCUCGGUCUCAUAAUCUCUGUUUCUAAGUCUCUUAUUCUCUCAUAAACACUCACAUCAAUCUCCCUUUCUAAAUAACCUAGAGCAAGCUCUCAUCUUUCUCCAUUGGAGUUUAUACACACACAAACACAACCAGAGAAGAUAACUCUACAAAUCUCACACCAUCAAGCCUCUCUUAUGUAGAUUCCAGAGCUCUGUAGAUCCCUUCUACUAUCUGAUCUAUCUCUGCCCUGGUGUGAAAAUCUGGUUGAGACUUUAUCGAAUGUGGGUGUGGUGGGUUGGCGUCGACCGAUGCUGAUGUGCGGUUGUCGACCGAUGUGUGUAAGUGGUUG
rnacentral:lncRNA from 1 species